AAUUGCGUCACUACGCAGCACGUGCGCGCGCGCAUGCGCCAUAGCCACUAAUGGACUCUAUUUAAGCCCAUUGCAGACACUAUUGUCUCUGACUGUCAUGGCGUCUGCUGGACUUAUGGAGACUUCUCACAUGCAGGUAGGACCACUGGUUGUUGAUGUUUGGCUUAUUGUUUGUUUUUGGUGCUGUGCCUUUAUGCACACUUCACCAGACUAGCCAUACAUAUUAUUUAUAUAUACUCCUAAAUUCCUUUUUCCAGUGAUCUCUGCCUGCGAUCACCCAGCAAUCCACCCUUCCUGAAACAUAGGAUAAUCUGGGUAGUUUGUCUCCUUGUGGCUGAACUUUUGUUCUCUGGCACAUGCAUACCCUCUCCUAUAUGGAUUCCCAUAUCUGGUAAGUUACUCUCCAUUUUUGGAUUACCAGCUCUAUGGGGUUACUCUUUUUUGCUAUAAAUGUGUGUCUGCAUUUAACUCUUUGAAUGCAACAAAUAAUGAUAUAUGCAUAUUAUAUAUAUAUAUUAUUUUUUUUUUUUUUUUUUUUUUUUUUUUCUUCUUUCCUCUUUCCCUUCCUUCCCUAGGCGUGGACCUUUUUGGUAGGCUAUGAUUGUAUAUCCUCCCCGUGAACACAGAGACAUUGAUCUCCAUAUACAGCAUUUUCCCCUUGUUUUUGGCGUACUUUCACACUGAGACAGGACUCUAUCUACAGAUCUUAUUGACUACAUGUAUUUCUCUGACACAAUGAUCGUCUGUAAUACCCCUUGAAGAAGGAUCACAGAUACCGAAACGGCUGUCGGGUUGGACCAAUUUUUGUCUCAUGUCUGUUUUAUUGCUUUACAAAUAGGAUCUGUAUACCACUUGCAUGUGGUUUUUUAUCCUUGCUAGGACACUGUACGAUGUCCUUACUUAAAUUGUUUAAAUAAAUUUGCUAUAUAUUUUUCUACUCA